UACGGAGGUUGCAAGCGUUGUUCGGAAUAACUGGGCGUAAAGGGAGCGCAGGCGGUCUGACAAGUCUAAAGUGAAAGCCCGGGGCUUAACCUCGGAAGUGCUUUGGAUACUAUCAGACUAGAGUUCGUGAGAGGAAAGCGGAAUUCCAGGUGUAGCGGUGAAAUGCGUAGAUAUCUGGAGGAACACCGGUGGCGAAAGCGGCUUUCUGGCGCGAUACUGACGCUGAGGCUCGAAAGCAUGGGGAGCGAACAGGAUUAGAUACCCUGGUAGUCCAUGCCGUAAACGUUGUGCACUAGGUGUGGGAGGUAUCGACCCCUUCCGUGCCGCAGCUAACGCAUUAAGUGCACCGCCUGGGGAGUACGGUCGCAAGACUGAA
rnacentral:rRNA from 1 species